rnacentral:rRNA from 1 species
AUUGAACGCUGGCGGCAGGCUUAACACAUGCAAGUCGAACGAGUGGCGGACGGGUGAGUAAUGCUUGGGAAUCUAGCUAAUGGAGGGGGAUAACUACGGGAAACUGUAGCUAAUACCGCGUACCAUAGGAUGAGCCCAAUUGGUAGUAGGUAGUUGGGGUGGUAAAGGCUCACCAAGCCGACGAUCUCUAGCUGGUCUGAGAGGAUGACCAGCAAAACGGGGACUGAGAAACGGCGCAGACUCCGACGGGAGGCAGCAGUGGGGAAUAUUGCGCAAUGGGGGCAACCUGACGCAGCCAUGCCGCGUGAAUGAAGAAGGCCUUCGGGUUGUAAAGUUCUUUCGGUAGCGAGGCGUUAACUACAGAAGAAGCACCGGCGAACUCCGUGCCAGCAGCCGCGGUAAUAC